ACAAGCGGUGGAGCAUGUGGUUAAUUCGACGCAACGCGAAGAACCUUACCUGGGCUUGACAUCCCGAUCGCACCUUAUGGAAACAUAGGGGUCAGUUCGGCUGGAUCGGUGACAGGUGCUGCAUGGCUGUCGUCAGCUCGUGUCGUGAGAUGUUGGGUUAAGUCCCGCAACGAGCGCAACCCUUGUCCUUAGUUGCCAGCAUUCAGUUGGGCACUCUAAGGAGACUGCCGGUGUCAAACCGGAGGAAGGUGGGGAUGACGUCAAGUCCUCAUGGCCCUUAUGUCCAGGGCUACACACGUGCUACAAUGGCCGGUACAAAGGGGCGCAAGACCGCGAGGUGGAGCAAAUCCCAAAAAACCGGUCUCAGUUCGGAUUGGAGUCUGCAACUCGACUCCAUGAAGUUGGAAUCGCUAGUAAUCGCGGAUCAGCACGCCGCGGUGAAUACGUUCCCGGGCCUU
rnacentral:rRNA from 1 species